UGAGAAGAAAAAUGAAAAAAGAAUCCUGGAGAUGACCAGCAUUUAGUGGGGUGAGGAAGAAGAGAAAAGCAGCAAGUAAAGAAUAAAAGGAAAUCCAUAAUUUUUGAAUGCUGGCCGAGGUCUGUGACCUCUGACUGAAUGGUUUCCAAGCUCCGAAUUCCUAGGUGAUGUUUUCAUUUGUUCACACUUGCUGAAGAAGGGAAAGGCUCUCUGAUUUACGUGUAAGCAAAACAAUCUAAACAGUAGGAUAAAAUCAUGUUGGAAUGGAGUUCUGUGUGGAUGCUCCUUUGA
rnacentral:lncRNA from 1 species